ACAAGAACAACAAUGACUUUCAGCAUCAUCUUCAUCUGGACACUCACAGUGUUUGCUCAAGAGUGUAGAGGACAGUACACUGUUACUCAGAGUCCAUCAAUAACAGCAGUUCAACCAGGACAAAGUGUUCAAAUAAACUGUAAAGUCAGCAGUGGUGUAUACACAGAUAGUUAUGGUCCUCGAAUGAGCUGGUACUUACAGAAACCUGGAGAAGCUCCUAAACUCCUCAUAUAUAGAGCAAAAACCCUCUACACUGGAGUAUCAUCUAGAUUCAGUGGCAGUGGAUCAAACACAGAUUUCACUCUGAGCAUCAGUGGAGUUCAGACUGAAGAUUCAGGAGAUUAUUACUGUCAGAGUUUACACUAUCCUAAUAGUAAAUGGGUGUUGACACAGUGAUAAAGAGUCGUACAAAAACCUCCGUCAGUCAGACUGAACAGUGACUGCACUGAUACACCUGACACAUACUGCAGCUGAUUAUACAACACACACAAAACACUGAUCACUAAUGACAAAGCACUGUUUUUUGUAAUUAUGAAGAUAAUCAAAAAAUAUCUUUAACAUUCAUACUGACUACUGAAGUAUCAGAUUAUUUUUAAUUUCCAUAAUUCAUAUUACUGACUCCUUUAUAUAAGAUGUUUUUCUCUGUUUGUGUGUGUUCUUUUAACCAACAUAUUUUACAUUUACAUUUUACAUUUUAGUCAUUUGGCAGACGCUUUUAUCCAAAGCGACUUACAGUGCACUUAUUACAGGGACAAUCCCCCUGGAGCAACAUGGAGUAAAGUGUCUUGCUCAAGGACACACUGGUGGUGGCUGCUGGGAUCGAACCAGCAACCUUUUGAUUUACCAGUUCAGUGGUUUAACGCACUAGACCACCAUCUCACAAAUCUAAUGAUCUUUAUGAGAUAAACGUUAUGAUCAGAUGCACAAACAGCCGCUGUUCAUGAUCACAACAUUUGUCCAGAGAGUUCAGUGUUCACACCAGUCAAGAGAAAAAAUACAUUUACAUUUUGAUCAGAAUAUUCUUUUAGUUAAAUUCAUGAUAUAUGUCAAUGAUAUA